GAUAGGAGGAUAGAGUAUAAUGCAUCAUAUCACCUCUAUAUUAAUUAAUAACAAUUGGAGCAUUGACAUAUUGUAGGGAUGGGGAAAUCGAUACAGUAGAGCAGUGGUCACCAACCAGUCGAUCUUCUACGCAUUCCUAGUUGAUCACCAAACAUAACAUAUCUGUAGAAAAGCCAACGAUAAAGGCUUGCGCUCCUUUAUUUAUUUGACUUUGCGCUUUUGGCGGAAGGUGCACUUGAUUCAGAAGCCCUGCAUGCCAGGUAGGCAAACUGUUCUGAACCAUUUCAAACUCCACCUACCCAGCGGACCAGAAGGGCUGACGUUAAAUCAAGUAUAUCAGAAUACCGAAAAGCAUUGCUGUUUUUAUGAGUGUUCCAGGCCAUGGGACAUGAAGACAGAGCCCAUGUGGACCUUCAGCAUGAACUGCACACUCCUACGCAGGAUCCCAAUCUUCACCAGCUCCUGACAAACCCGGUCAGCCAGAAGAGGACCUAAGUCCUAGGACCAUGCCUCAGGACUACCUGGCAUGAUGACUCCUUUCUGUCCCCAGAACACAUGGCUGUGCUGCUUCUCCAGUUUCAACUGUUCUGCCUGCGGCUAUGGAAUCCUGACCUGUUCACCGGACGUGCUACCUGUCCCAGACCUAUUAUUUGACCAUGCUGGUCAUUUAUGAACAUUUGAACAUCUUGGUCAUGUGCUGUUAUAAUCUCCACCCGGCACAGCCAGAAGAUAACUGGCCACCCCUCAUAGCCUGGUUCCUCUCUAGGUUUCUUUCUAGGUUUUGGCCUUUUCUUGGGAGUUUUUCCUAUCCAACGUGCUUCAACACCUGCAUUGCUUGCUGUUUGGGGUUUUAGGCUGGGUUUCUGUACAGCACUUUGAGAUAUCAGCUGAUGUACGAAGGGCUAUAUAAAUAAAUUUGAUUUGAUUUAAUGACCUGGUUUAAUGAGAGCCAUGAUGGUCCAUGAUGACUUCAGCAAAGCCUCAUAGAGUGCUUUCUCCACCCAUGUCAAACAGACAAUAAAUUGU